AUGACAGACAAUGGUAAAGCAAAGUCAGGCUCAGGAGCAGCCUAUACAAUCAAUCUAGAGACCUUCAGUAAGCGGCUUAAGGUGUUUUAUGACCAUUGGAACGGAAACAAGUCUGAUCUUUGGGCUUCUUCUGAUGCCAUUGCAAUUGCUACUCCGCCUCCUUCUGAGGAUCUCCGUUAUUUGAAGUCCACAGCUCUGGAUGUUUGGUUACUUGGGUAUGAAUUUCCAGAAACCAUAAUUGUCUUCAUGCAGAAGCAGAUACAUUUCUUAUGCAGCCAGAAGAAAGCAAAUCUCAUUGGAACCCUCAAGGAUGCUGCAAGUGAGGCUGUUGGUUCUGAUAUUAUCUUGCAUGUGAAAAGCAAGAAUGGGGAUGGCAUUGACCUGAUGGAUGACAUACUGCGUGCUGUUUCUGCUCAGUCGAAAUCUGACACUCCAGUUGUUGGUCACAUUGCAAAAGAGGCACCUGAGGGUAAGCUCCUUGAAACAUGGGCAGAAAAGUUAGCUGGUGGAUCUGUACAACUUGCAGACGUAACACAUGGGUUUUCUGAGCUUUUUGCCGUGAAAGACGCCACAGAGAUCAUAUGUGUGAAGAAGGCUGCUUACCUAACUUCAUCUGUGAUGAAAAACUUUGUGGUACCGACCAUGGAGAAGGUUAUUGAUGAGGAGAGAAAAGUCUCACACUCCUCAUUGAUGGAUGACACAGAGAAGGUUAUUCUUGAUCCUUUGAAGGCCAAGGUGAAGUUGAAGCCUGAAAAUAUUGAUAUAUGCUACCCUCCUGUCUUCCAAAGUGGAGGGAAGUUUGAUCUUAGGCCAGGUGCCUCCAGCAAUGAUGAUUAUCUCUACUAUGAUCCUGCAAGUAUCAUCAUCUGUGCAAUUGGGUCCAGGUACAGUAACUACUGUUCCAAUGUUGCCAGAACAUUUUUGAUAGAUGCUACCCCGGCACAGAGUAAGGCGUAUGAGACACUUCUGAAAGCUCAGGAAGCUGCUUUAGCAGCAUGUAAACCAGGCAAUCAGAUGUCUGCAGUUUUUAAGGCUGCAGUUGCAGUGUUUGAGAAGAAUGCCCCUGAACUGCUUCCUAAUCUAACAAAGUCAGCUGGAACUGGAAUUGGCCUUGAGUUCCGAGAAUCUGGCUUAAACUUGAAUGCCAAGAAUGACCGUCUGAUAAAAGAGGGAAUGAUUUUCAAUGUCAACCUUGGUUUGAGUAAUAUACAGGCAGAAACAAACAAUGAGAAGACAAAGCAGUUCUCUUUGUUAUUAGCUGAUACAGCUUUAGUUAAUGACAAGGCUGCAGAGAUCUUGACCAAUUGCUCCAAGGCUGUUAAAGAUGUUGCAUAUUCAUUUAAUGAAGAUGAGGAGGAAGUUCCGAAGCCGAAGCGGGCUAAGGUUGAGCCAAAUGGCGUGGAAGCACUACCAUCCAAGGCAACACUUCGGUCAGACAACCAGGAGAUGUCCAAGGAAGAGCUCCGGAGACAGCACCAGGCUGAACUUGCUCGUCAAAAGAAUGAAGAGACUGCUAGAAGGCUUGCUGGGGGUGGUUCUGGUAAUGGUGAUGGCCGUGGUCCUUCUAGGAAUUCAAAUGAGCUUGUUGCGUACAAGAAUGUGAAUGAUGUACCUUAUUCGAGAGAGUUGGUGAUACAAGUAGAUCAGAGGAAUGAAGCUGUUCUCUUACCUAUAUAUGGCAGUAUGGUCCCUUUCCAUGUUUCUACUGUUAAGAGUGUGACCAGCCACCAGGACAACCGCACCUGCACUAUCCGCAUUUUCUUCAAUGUACCUGGCAUGCCAUUCUCAAAUGACAAAGAUCUGAAGUCUCAAGGAGCUAUCUACUUGAAAGAGAUUACAUUCCGCUCGAAGGAUCCACGGCAUAGCAGUGAAGUUGUGCAGCAGAUCAAAACAUUGAGGAGGCAAGUAGCUUCAAGGGAGUCAGAGAGAGCUGAAAGGGCCACCCUUGUUACCCAGGAGAAGCUCCAGCAGGCAAGCAACAAAACAAAGCAAAUGAGGCUUAAUGAUGUCUGGAUAAGGCCUCCAUUUGGUGGUCGUGGGAGAAAGCUGACAGGAACUCUUGAGGCCCAUGUUAAUGGUUUCAGAUAUUCCACUUCACGGGCUGAUGAGCGUGUGGAUAUCAUGUACGGGAAUAUAAAACAUGCUUUCUUCCAGCCAGCAGAGAAAGAAAUGAUUACCCUCCUUCAUUUCCAUCUGCACAACCAUAUCAUGGUUGGAAACAAGAAGACGAAGGAUGUCCAGUUUUAUGUUGAAGUGAUGGAUGUUGUUCAAACUGUUGGUGGCAGCAGGAGGUCAGCCCUUGAUCCUGAUGAGAUUGAAGAAGAGCAGCGUGAGAGGGACCGGAAGAACAGAAUCAACAUGGAGUUCCAGAACUAUAUCAACAAGGUUAAUGACCACUGGUCGCAACCACAGUUCAAGGGGCUUGAUCUGGAGUUUGAUAUCCCUCUUAGAGAGCUCGGGUUCCAUGGGGUGCCGUAUAAAGCUUCAGCUUUCAUCAUUCCAACUUCAACUUGCUUGGUUGAGCUGAUUGAGACCCCCUUCCUGGUGGUGACCCUGGGUGAGAUAGAGAUUGUUAAUCUGGAGAGGGUGGGCUUUGGAACAAAGAACUUUGACAUGGCUAUCGUGUUCAAGGACUUCAAGAAGGAUGUUCUCCGCAUCGACUCCAUCCCGUCAACCUCACUUGACGCUAUAAAGGAGUGGCUGGACACCACUGAUCUCAAGUACUAUGAGAGCAGGCUGAAUCUGAACUGGCGUCCUAUCCUGAAGACUAUCAUUGAUGAUCCUCAGAAGUUUGUUGACGAUGGUGGCUGGGAGUUCCUGAACAUGGAGGCAAGUGAUUCUGAGGCAGAGGAAACAGAGGAAUCGGACCAGGGGUAUGAGCCUUCUGAUGCUGAGCCUGAGUCUGAAUCAGAAGAGGAAGACUCCGACAGCGCGUCCUUGGUGGAAUCAGACGAGGAUGAGGAAGAGGAUUCUGAUGAAGACUCUGAGGAAGAGAAGGGCAAGACCUGGGACGAGCUGGAGCGGGAGGCGACCAACGCGGACCGGGAUCAUGGCGCAGAGUCUGACAGCGAGGAAGAAAGGAGGCGCCGCAAGGUCAAGACCUUCAGCAAGUCGGGCGCACCACCGCAGCGUGGUCCUAGCAGCAGCAAGCAUGCUCCGCUGCCGCAGCGUGGUGGCAGCAGCAGCGGCAACAAGUCUCGCCCGCCUCCCAGUAGCUCCAAGGGAGGGCCGCCCUCGAAGAAGCCGAAGUUCAGGUGA
rnacentral:rRNA from 1 species